CAGGAAUAGUCGGGAUAGCUCAGUUGGUAG
rnacentral:tRNA from 1 species